rnacentral:rRNA from 1 species
AAUGCUAAGAGAAUGGAAGUUCAGAAAAAAACUUUUUUUAAAUUAAAAAUUGAAGUUUUUUUAAUUUGUGCAGAAACAAUUAUUUAUAUUAAAGACAAGAAGACCCUAUGAAUUUAUUAAAUUUUUAUUUAAUAUGUAAUUACUAUUAAAAAAAUUUUAGCUGGGGCGGCUAGAAAAUAUUAUAAACUUUUUAAAAAUAAAAUGAUCCAUUAUUAAUGAUUUUAUGUUAAAUACUCUAGGGAUAACAGCG